GAUGAACGCUGGCGGCGUGCCUAAUACAUGCAAGUCGAGCGAACGGACGAGAAGCUUGCUUCUCUGAUGUUAGCGGCGGACGGGUGAGUAACACGUGGAUAACCUACCUAUAAGACUGGGAUAACUUCGGGAAACCGGAGCUAAUACCGGAUAAUAUUUUGAACCGCAUGGUUCAAAAGUGAAAGACGGUCUUGCUGUCACUUAUAGAUGGAUCCGCGCUGCAUUAGCUAGUUGGUAAGGUAACGGCUUACCAAGGCAACGAUGCAUAGCCGACCUGAGAGGGGAACGGACCACAUGGAACGGAGACCCGGGCCAGACCUCCAAGGGAGGGAGGAGGGGGGAAUUCUCCCGAAUGGGCGAAAGUCCAGAAGGCACACCGCGGGGGAGUGGAGAAGGGUUUUGGAACCUAAAAACUGUUUUAAAGGGAAAAAAGAUAUUGAAAGGUAACUGUUCACACUUUGAGGGUACCUAAACAGAAAGCCACGGCAAACUACGUG
rnacentral:rRNA from 1 species